rnacentral:rRNA from 1 species
UAGGGAAUCUUCGGCAAUGGGGGGAACCCUGACCGAGCAACGCCGCGUGAGUGAAGAAGGUUUUCGGAUCGUAAAGCUCUGUUGUUAAGGAAGAACGAGUGUGAGAAUGGAAAGUUCAUGCUGUGACGGUACUUAACCAGACAGGGACGGCUAACUACGUUCCAGCAGCCGCGGUAAUACGUAGGUCCCGAGCGUUGUCCGGAUUUAUUGGGCGUAAAGCGAGCGCAGGCGGUUAGAAAAGUCUGAAGUGAAAGGCAGUGGCUCAACCAUUGUAGGCUUUGGAAACUGUUUAACUUGAGUGCAGAAGGGGAGAGUGGAAUUCCAUGUGUAGCGGUGAAAUGCGUAGAUAUAUGGAGGAACACCGGUGGCGAAAGCGGCUCUCUGGUCUGUAACUGACGCUGAGGCUCGAAAGCGUGGGGAGCGAACAGG